UACUGGUUAUGUAGGGGUAUUGCAGUUUGGGACGGUUUGUUGAAAUGAACCAAUACUGCAAGUACAUCUCAUGAGCGAUAAAAUGCAGAUAAGCACUUCCUAAACAGGCAGGCUGCAAGCCGUCAACCUUUGGGUCCUCACAAUCCUACACCGGACGGUUAAAGUGUUGUGGAGUGGAAGGUUUGCUUGCAGAGUUAAUAAAUGGUUUGCGCCGGUCCCGUGUGUUAGGACUGUGCAGGUUGUGCAGCCACGGUUGGAGACGGCGUGGCCAUCGUUGGUUACCCAUACCGCAUACAGCCAUUGAGAGCCAUCCGCUCCAUGGUGACCCCGCCCACUGCCCCCACCCCCUGAUCUGCCAGCCUACAACCCCCCCGCUGCACAGAAAGGCCCGGGACACACAUCAUCUUCCUCCUCCUCCUCCUCACCUGGUCCUGGGUCACAUUACCCAGCUGCAUACUGCCCCUCCCAAAUCCCUGCGUCUCCCACUGUAAGCCCCAUCUGCCCCCCUGACAUCCGUACCCAGAGCCCCAAGGCAGCAUGGGACACCCCUGACCAGCACCAUGUGGGUCUCAUCGCCAUGGGGACACUCUGGAUGGACAGCUAGCGCUGCCCC